AACGAACGCUGGCGGCAUGCCUAACACAUGCAAGUCGAACGAGACCUUCGGGUCUAGUGGCGCACGGGUGCGUAACGCGUGGGAACCUGCCCUUAGGUUCGGAAUAACUCCCCGAAAGGGGUGCUAAUACCGGAUAAUGUCUUCGGACCAAAGAUUUAUCGCCUUUGGAUGGGCCCGCGUUGGAUUAGCUAGUUGGUAGGGUAAAAGCCUACCAAGGCGACGAUCCAUAGCUGGUCUGAGAGGAUGAUCAGCCACACUGGGACUAAGACACGGCCCAGACUCCUACGGGAGGCAGCAGUGGGAAAUAUUGGACAAUGGGCGAAAGCCUGAUCCAGCAAUGCCGCGUGAGUGAUGAAGGCCUUAGGGUUGUAAAGCUCUUUUACCCGGGAUGAUAAUGACAGUACCGGGAGAAUAAGCUCCGGCUAACUCCGUG
rnacentral:rRNA from 1 species